rnacentral:rRNA from 2 species
CACGCACGUGGAGCGGUAGCACACGAGAGCUUGCUUUCUGGGUGACGAGCGGCGGACGGGUGAGUAAUGUCUGGGAAACUGCCUGAUGGAGGGGGAUAACUACUGGAAACGGUAGCUAAUACCGCAUAACGUCUUCGGACCAAAGUGGGGGACCUUCGGGCCUCAUGCCAUCAGAUGUGCCCAGAUGGGAUUAGCUAGUAGGUGGGGUAAUGGCUCACCUAGGCGACGAUCCCUAGCUGGUCUGAGAGGAUGACCAGCCACACUGGAACUGAGACACGGUCCAGACUCCUACGGGAGGCAGCAGUGGGGAAUAUUGCACAAUGGGCGCAAGCCUGAUGCAGCCAUGCCGCGUGUGUGAAGAAGGCCUUCGGGUUGUAAAGCACUUUCAGCGAGGAGGAAGGGUUCAGUGUUAAUAGCACUGUUCAUUGACGUUACUCGCAGAAGAAGCACCGGCUAACUCCGUGCCAGCAGCCGCGGUAAUACGGAGGGUGCAAGCGUUAAUCGGAAUUACUGGGCGUAAAGCGCACGCAGGCGGUUUGUUAAGUCAGAUGUGAAAUCCCCGCGCUUAACGUGGGAACUGCAUUUGAAACUGGCAAGC